AAGCUAUUGAAAAAAAAAAGUUUCGAAUUUGUUAAAGACCUUAGCAAAUUUGCUACUCUUUGAUGACAGUGGUUGUGCGUGUCUGAGCCUC